GCCAACCCACUAACUGACGGGAA
rnacentral:miRNA from 1 species